rnacentral:rRNA from 1 species
UAGGGAAUAUUGGUUAAUGGACGAAAGUCUGAACCAGCAACGCCGCGUGUGCGAUGAAGGCCUUCGGGUCGUAAAGCACUUUUUGAGGGGACGAGGAAGGACGGUACCCUCAGAAUAAGCCUCGGCUAACUACGUGCCAGCAGCCGCGGUAACACGUAGGAGGCUAGCGUUAUCCGGAUUUACUGGGCGUAAAGCGCGUGUAGGCGGCUCGGAUAGUUGGAUGUGAAAGCUCCUGGCUUAACUGGGAGAGGUCGUUCAAUACUUCCGGGCUCGAGAGUGGUAGAGGGAGGUGGAAUUCCGAGUGUAGUGGUGAAAUGCGUAGAUAUUCGGAGGAACACCAGUGGCGAAAGCGACCUCCUGGACCAUUUCUGACGCUCAGACGCGAAAGCUAGGGUAGCAAACGGG